GGGGCUCUGAAGAAAACACGGCAGCGCUGCUGGCAAGAAGAACAGCUACUGAGCAAACAAACUGAAAAACGAUCUGCUCACGGGAGGGGGGGGGGGGGAGUGCCUUCCGAGUACUGCGGCAACGAGUGGAGGAGUGAUUUUAAAUG
ensembl:ncRNA C44H4.9 ncRNA